UACGGAGGGUGCAAGCGUUGUCCGGAUUUAUUGGGUUUAAAGGGCUCGUAGGCGGCCAACUAAGUCAGACGUGAAAUCCCUCGGCUUAACCGGGGAACUGCGUCUGAUACUGGAUGGCUUGAGUGUGGGAGAGGUGAGUGGAAUUCCUGGUGUAGCGGUGAAAUGCGUAGAUAUCAGGAGGAACACCUGUGGCGAAAGCGGCUCACUGGACCAUAACUGACGCUGAUGCACGAAAGCUAGGGGAGCAAACAGG
rnacentral:rRNA from 1 species